CACAUAUUUGGCUACAGCCACAAGAAUGAUCAACACGGAUGAACUGAUCAGGAUGUAACCACUCAAAUUCAAGAGGUUUGAUGCCUUGAAAUCUUUUUCAUCUUGGAUAUUUGCCUGAGUGGCCACCUC
rnacentral:miRNA from 14 species